rnacentral:lncRNA from 1 species
CCCUGAGUCCUUAAAUUAUAGGCUCUCCUGCAGUUUCAAAAAGCUAAUUCACACUACUGUGUGCAUUAGAAAGGUGGUAUAUAUGAUAUUCCACUAAGGGAAACCCUAGGAACAUUAAACUCCUACUAGUAACUGGUCACGAGUCAGGGCUAGAACUGACACUAGUCAUUUUUCUUCACUGACAAGUUUUCAUUAUGUGGCUUUCCCAGAACAAUUUAGAAAUUGAUCUGCAACUGAUGGAAGCUGGGAUGAAUUGGGCGCAUAAGUGAACCCAAAGCAUCAGAGCAAAGUCAAAGCGAACAUCUGGCUCCAGCUUUGAGUACAAGGAGAGAUUUGUGUAUGAUUGAGAGCAAGGAAAAAAGGCUUUGAAGGGGAAUUCAAAUAUUGAAGACACAAGAGAAAAAAUAAAUAAUAAAAUACUGUGAUCUCUUUGAAAUUGAGAAUGAAGUGAAAUGAAAGAAAUAUAAAAAGCUAGUUUGGCCCUGUAGGAAAGAUGAUCUGUUCUUCCUCUGACACAGAAAGGAAGGAAGAAAGAACAUGCUGGAAGCAGAGCAAAGAAGAGAGACUUGUGUUUCCAUGGAAUAAUCUUGGGAUCCAUGUGGAGUGCAAGAGAUUGGAACAGAAGGAGUUCUCAAAAAAUAAAAACUUCGGGCGGGUGCGGUGGCUCACGCCUGUAAUCCCAGGACUUUGGGAGGCCGAGGUGGGCGGAUCACGAGGU